UACGUAGGGUGCGAGCGUUAAUCGGAAUCACUGGGCGUAAAGCGCACGUAGGCGGGUCCUUAAGUCAGGGGUGAAAUCCCGGAGCUCAACUCCGGAACUGCCUUUGAUACUGGGGAUCUUGAGUCCGGAAGAGGUGAGUGGAACUCCGAGUGUAGAGGUGAAAUUCGUAGAUAUUCGGAAGAACACCAGUGGCGAAGGCGGCUCACUGGUCCGGUACUGACGCUGAGGUGCGAAAGCGUGGGGAGCAAACAGG
rnacentral:rRNA from 1 species